CGGCGCUUGAGGCUUUCUGCCUCAUGACGUGAAGGUGGUUUGUUACCGUGUUGUGUGGCAGAAAGAAGAUAGCCCCGUAGUAAGUUAAUUUUCAUUAACCACCACGAGGCAUCCCUAUGUCUAGUCCACAUCAGGAUAGCCUCUUACCGCGCUUUGCGCAAGGAGAAGAAGGCCAUG
rfam:Plasmid R100 DNA, complete sequence.